ensembl:misc_RNA 7SK 7SK RNA
GGAUGUGAGGGCGAUCUGGCUGCGACAUCUGUCACCCCAUUGAUCGCCAGGGUUGAUUCGGCUGAUCUGGCUGGCUAGGCGGGUGUCCCCCUCCUCCCUCACCGAUCCAUGUGCGUCCCUCCCGAAGCUGCGCGCUCGGUCGAAGAGGACGACCUUCCCCCCGAGGAGAGGACCGGUCUUCGGUCAAGGGUAUACGAGUAGCUGCGCUCCCCUGCUAGAACCUCCAAACAAGCUCUCAAAUUAUAUUAAAAAUAAACUAAAAAUAAUUUGAUGAACAAGAAUAGAUCCAGAGACAAACGGUAAGGGAGGAGGGGUUAGAGAGCAACCAAAGGACUUGUAU